GUGGGGAAUCUUGCGCAAUGGGCGAAAGCCUGACGCAGCCAUGCCGCGUGAAUGAUGAAGGUCUUAGGAUUGUAAAAUUCUUUCACCGGGGACGAUAAUGACGGUACCCGGAGAAGAAGCUCCGGCUAACUUCGUGCCAGCAGCCGCGGUAAUACGAAGGGGGCUAGCGUUGCUCGGAAUUACUGGGCGUAAAGGGCGCGUAGGCGGACAGCUUAGUCAGAGGUGAAAGCCCAGGGCUCAACCUUGGAAUUGCCUUUGAUACUGGCUGUCUUGAGUUUGGGAGAGGUGAGUGGAACUCCGAGUGUAGAGGUGAAAUUCGUAGAUAUUCGGAAGAACACCAGUGGCGAAGGCGACUCACUGGCCCAAUACUGACGCUGAGGCGCGAAAGCGUGGGGAGCAAACAGGAUUAGAUACCCUAGUAGUCC
rnacentral:rRNA from 1 species